AUAACUUGCAAAGACAAAUACUGAAGCCCUCAAGUUAUUGCUUGCAGUUUAAGCUUCAUAUAUUGACUCUUCUUGGUGUAGUCAAAAGAAGGGGGCGAUGUAAUGCAAAGAUGAUGGUUUCAGACAUGGUUUUGCAGAUUGUUUUCAACAUUUGUUUUGGUUGUAAAUUAAGAAAAAGAAAGAACCAAACCUCGGAUAUGGGCUGUGCUUCACAGCUUUUUGUCCAUAUUUUCUCCAUCUAUACCCGUCUUCAAGAUGAUCAACUUCACUUUUAGUCAUGAAAGCAAAUCGUGGUUCCCUUUGCUUUUUCUCUCCUUCAGUUUUCGCUUUGUUCCUGUUAGAUACAAUAAACAAUUACACUUACACCUCAAGAUUCG